GCGCUUUCUGGAUAGGCCAGGGAGCAUGCCUCUUUGAGCAUCGUUUUCACCUCUGCUCGACUGCGCUCUUUAUGAGAGCUGCGUGUCGGAAAAUGAGUUUGUCUCGUUCGUUCACGAAUGAGUCACUUGAAAUGCGGUGAGCUCAUCACGCCACCCAGCGGUCGUUCGAUUGCUGUCGAUGUGUGCUAUGGAUAAAUUUUAUUCAAUGGCGCCAUUCGAUUUGAUUGAACGCUAUGACUGCUGACGUACAGUGAUUGACUCAGUGGAAAUUAAACGGAAUACUGUCAAAGGUAUUCUAUUUGAAUUAGAUCUCAAAUGAAGCAAGAGUACCCGCUGAACUUAAGCAUAUUAUUAAGCGGAGGAAAAGAAACUAACAAGGAUGCCCUCAGUAACGGCGAGUGAAGCGGGCAAAGCUCAACCUGAAAAUCGGGUACCCAAGCGGGUGCUCGAAUUGUGGGCUAGAGACGCGUGAUCAGUGUGUGACCCAGAUAUAAAUCUUUUGAAACAAGGUAUCAUAGAGGGUGAGAAUCCCGUCUGUGAUCUGGAGUUCGCCGCGUACGAUCCGUGUUCGCAGAGUCGAGUUGUUUGGGAUUGCAGC
rnacentral:rRNA from 1 species